rnacentral:rRNA from 1 species
CCUACGGGAGGCAGCAGUGGGGGAUAUUGGACAAUGGGGGGAACCCUGAUCCAGCGACGCCGCGUGAGUGAAGAAGUAUUUCGGUAUGUAAAGCUCUGUCAGCAGGGAAGAAAGCAAUGACGGUACCUGACCAAGAAGCCCCGGCUAACUACGUGCCAGCAGCCGCGGUAAUGCGUAGGGGGCAAGCGUUAUCCGGAAUUACUGGGUGUAAAGGGAGCGUAGACGGCUGUGCAAGCCUGAUGUGAAAGGCGGGGGCGCAACCCUCGGACUGCAUUGGGAACUGUCCGGCUGGAGCGCCGGGGGGG